rnacentral:lncRNA from 1 species
UUCCUCCAUUUUUGGAUCCAAAAUUGUCAAAUGAUGACAUAAAAACAGGUGUUAGUUUUGCAUCUGCUGGCACGGGAUUCGAUGAUCUAACUGCUGCUAUAUCCAAAGUCAUUCCUGUGAUGAAGCAAAUUGAUCAUUUCAAGAACUACAUUCAGAGGCUUCAAGGGGUUGUGGGUGUGGAUGAAAGUAAGAGGAUAAUUAACAAUGCUUUGGUUGUUAUUAGUGCAGGAACCAACGACUUGAACAUCAAUUUUUAUGACCUUCCCACUAGGCAGUUGCAGUACAAUAUUAGUGGCUAUCAAGAUUUUCUUCAGAAUAGGCUACAAAGUUUAAUCAAGGUAAAUUAUACAAUAUGCACAUCACAAGAAUCCAAAGGCUAAAUUAUAACUUUCCAUUUCAGUUUAUCCCUAUACUCUUAAGAAAGUUUAGUAAGUCUUCAAACUACAGUCCUAUUUUCAAAAGGUUACUAAUUUUGUUACUAUCAGUUUACACUCGAAUCAACUAAAAAUAAGGACUUUAACUCUGUCUAUAGGAAAUUUACCAACUUGGAUGCCGAAACAUAGUGGUUGCCGGCCUCCCACCUGUUGGUUGUCUUCCCAUUCAAGAGACCAUAGCAUUUGAGAAUCCCCUAAAGCGAAAUUGUUUAAAAGAUCAAAACUCAGAUUCCGUAGCCUACAAUCAGAAACUUUCAAAGCUGCUGACCAAUUUACAGCCACAGCUCGCAGGAAGCAAAAUUCUGUAUGCGGACAUUUACACCCCUCUCAUCGACAUGCUAAACAAUCCUCAAAAAUAUGGUAAGUCAGUGCCCUGCCACUCAAAAUUUACAGAACCCAUCCACUUAUUGACUAUAAUUCAGUAAAUAUUAGAGAGAAAUCAUGUUCUGAAAACAAUUUUCACCUCAUUAUCUUUGGGGCAUUUCAUCAAACAGGUUUUGAUCACACGAACAGAGGUUGCUGUGGAACUGGAUUGGUGGAAGCAGGGCCUUUGUGUAAUCCAAAAACCCCAACGUGUGAAAAUUCAUCAAAAUUCAUGUUUUGGGAC